rnacentral:rRNA from 1 species
ACAUCCAAGGAAGGCAGCAGGCGCGCAAAUUACCCACUCUCAGUACGAGGAGGUAGUGACGAAAAAUAACGAGACGGUUCUCUAUGAGGUCCGUCAUCGGAAUGGGUACAAUUUAAACCCUUUAACGAGGAUCUAUUGGAGGGCAAGUCUGGUGCCAGCAGCCGCGGUAAUUCCAGCUCCAAUAGCGUAUACUAAAGUUGUUGCGGUUAAAAAGCUCGUAGUUGGAUCUGCGGUCUCGCGUGCCGGUGAAUCCUCAGGAUUUUACUGGUUUCGCAGGCCUACCUCGCUGGUUUUCCCUUGGUCCUCUUUACUGAGUGCCCUGGGUGACC